GCGGGUAUAGUUUAGUGGUAGAAUUGCGAAGCUUCCGACCUCGUGAGGCGAGUUCGAUUCUCGCUACCCGCUCCA
rnacentral:tRNA from 1 species